GUGGCUAUUGGUAGGUGAUUUGCAUUCAAUGUAGGCUGGAUAUCCGUGCAGAAUAUAUAUAUACGGAGCGAGGAAAAUGGAGUUGGGGCGGUGUCUUGCAAUUUGCAACGAUUGUCCGAGUCUUGGAUUUCUUCAAAAAAAGUAUCUCUCCGGCGAUAAGAUCAUUAAAUACACAGUGAAAAGCUCUAGAUCAUCGGUGAACGUACUUCGGAUAGAAUAAUGGACACAUUGGAAAUUAUCCAUUUAUGAAUAUGUUAUGCCUUUUUGAGAAUUGCUUAUGUUAAUUGAUUUGAGUCAUUUUUCUAUACUGCAAUCUGAAUUCAAGAUUUGAAUGUUUUUUGAAGUACAAAAAGGCACAUCCCAUGGUGUGGGUGCAUGCUGUGCCAAUGGUAUCAAAAUAUAUUCUGAAGUCCUCACUCACCAAAUGGAUGCCCAGAAGGCACAAGCACUCAAUUUGCCUGAAGCAAACUCGAUAUUGAAUGAUAAUGAUGAUUGCAGUACGGCUUGAAGAUUAUGGUGAUCAUGAUGGACAUUUUGUCUAUUUUAUCUUUAUAUGACGGUUUUAAUAUUUAUGUGACAUGUGUAUCAUGAAUAUUUAAUUUUAUUCUCAAGUCAUUUUAUAUUCAUUUAAAUGCUAUGAUGAUAUCUAUUAUGGGCUCUUGGUAUGUUGUUAUACUAUGUCAACCUAUAAACUGGAAUGUGGUAAAUGACAUAUUUAAAUUUAGAAGAAUGAUUAUCUUUGUAGA